GACGAACGCUGGCGGCGUGCCUAAUACAUGCAAGUUGAGCGAUGAAGAUUGGUGCUUGCACCAAUUUGAAGAGCGGCGAACGGGUGAGUAACGCGUGGGGAAUCUGCCUUUGAGCGGGGGACAACAUUUGGAAGCGAAUGCUAAUACCGCAUAACAACUUUAAACAUAAGUUUUAAGUUUGAAAGAUGCAAUUGCAUCACUCAAAGAUGAUCCCGCGUUGUAUUAGCUAGUUGGUGAGGUAAAGGCUCACCAAGGCGAUGAUACAUAGCCGACCUGAGAGGGGGAUCGGCCACAUUGGGACUGAGACACGGCCCAAACUCCUACGGGAGGCAGCAGUAGGGAAUCUUCGGCAAUGGACGAAAGUCUGACCGAGCAACGCCGCGUGAGUGAAGAAGGUUUUCGGAUCGUAAAACUCUGUUGGUAGAGAAGAACGUUGGUGAGAGUGGAAAGCUCAUCAAGUGACGGUAACUACCCAGAAAGGGACGGCUAACUACGUG
rnacentral:rRNA from 1 species